AUCGCGUCGCCCCCCCACACGUGCAUGAACAUGCUGUGCGAGGGCGACAUGCUCCCGUGCUUCGGUCGCAGGCUGGCAUAAAUGUGAGUCCCUUGUGACGGACACGACGAACAAGUGGUGGUUGAUUUCUUCAACUAAGGUGCUGUCGCUCGUCGACCCUGUUUGAUGAGGAGACUUCCAUGACCCUAAACGCAUCGUCUUACGACGCCUGCCACGACCGC
rnacentral:rRNA from 1 species